UCAAAUUACUUUUUGUACCGUCUUCAUGAUGUGGAGGGUUUUCAUAUUGAAGCCCUAGCCGCUCCUCUGUUGCCUGCUCUGUUUCUAACUUCGAUUGACUUCUCAGUCUAGCAAUCGAAGUCCUGACCGCUUGCUUUCUCUGUUUCUCGCUUCUCAGUCUCGCCUCUCCAGUCCGACUCAACAAUUAUUUCAAUGGCACCGUCACCUGGUUGGGUGAUCAUGGAUAGAAGUUUGAUGGCAUGAGUGGAGUUGGAAAAGUGUCGCGGCAGCUUUUUUAUUUUUUACCUACAUUUAUGGGUGCUGCUGACGAGAAUGUUUCCCCAUUUGCACGAGAUCAUAUUGCAAUGCGAAUCAAAUCCUUGCAGUAUUUGUAUAUUGUAUCGUGCAGUACUAGUUGUAAUUCACACUCAAAAUUGUAGUUAUUUUACCAGACAAUAUUAGGUUCCAUGUAAUUUACACUCAAAAUUGUAGUUAUCUCACCAGACGAUAAUAGGUUCUUGAGUGGAACCUAUGGAACCCUUUCUUUGACUUCAAUAUUCUUGAUUUUGGUGAUGUCCUUAGUAAGCAAUAUGAAGAGGAGGUCCAUUUAGCUGAUUAAAUGGUUACAAUAAUAUGAAGAGGAAGUCCAUUUAACUUAUUGAACGGUUGUAACAAUGUAAAGAGAGAGUCUAGUUAACUCAUUGAAGAUCACCUACAAAGUAAGCAAAAUAAAUUCAAAGGAUUAUUUUGGUUAUCUAUGGUGUUAUUUUUAUUUUCUUUUUUUCAUAAGCAUUGUAAUUUUGUCACUUGACUUUAAAAAUUCAAUGUUUGUGUAAUAGAAUUAUCAUUAUCAUAA